rnacentral:rRNA from 1 species
UCCGGUUGAUCCUGCCAGAGGUUACUGCUAUCGAGGUUCGACUAAGCCAUGCGAGUCGAAUGUAGCAAUACAUGGCGUACUGCUCAGUAACACGUGGACAACCUACCCUCAGGUCGGGGAUAAACCCGGGAAACUGGGUAUAAUACCCGAUAGAUCUCGACUGCUGGAAUGCAUCGAGCUCUAAAGCUCCGGCGCCUGAGGAUGGGUCUGCGGCCUAUCAGGUAGUAGUGGGUGUAGCGUACCUACUAGCCUACGACGGGUACGGGUUGUGAGAGCAAGAGCCCGGAGAUGGAUUCUGAGACACGAAUCCAGGCCCUACGGGGUGCAGCAGGCGCGAAAACUUUACAAUGCCGGCAACGGCGAUAAGGGGACCUCGAGUGCCAGGUUACAAAUCUGGCUGUCGUGAUGCCUAAAAAGCAUUGCAUAGCAAGGGCCGGGCAAGACCGGUGCCAGCCGACGCGGUAACACCGGCGGCUCGAGUGGUAACCGUUAUUAUUGGGUCUAAAGGGUCUGUAGCCGGCCGGAUAAGUCUCUUGAGAAAUCCAGCAGCUCAACUGUUGGGCUUUCAGGAGAUACUGUUCGGCUCGAGGCCGGGAGAGGUGAGAGGUACUUCAGGGGUAGGGGUGAAAUCUUGUAAUCCUUGAAGGACCACCAGUGGCGAAGGCGUCUCACCAGAACGGACCUGACGGCAAGGGACGAAAGCUAGGGGCACGAACCGGAUUAGAUACCCGGGUAGUCCUAGCCGUAAACGAUACUCGCUAGGUGUCGGCCACGGUGCGACCGUUGUCGGUGCCGUAGGGAAGCCGUGAAGCGAGCCACCUGGGAAGUACGGCCGCAAGGCUGAAACUUAAAGGAAUUGGCGGGGGAGCA